rnacentral:rRNA from 1 species
AACGAACGCUGGCGGCAGGCUUAACACAUGCAAGUCGAACGAUAUAGUGGCGGACGGGUGAGUAACACGUGAACUACCUACCAUAAAGUGGAGGACAGUCCUGGGAAACUGGGUUUAAUACUCCAUGUGCAUAUAUGUAAAGGUGCCUUCGGGUGUCGCUUUAUGAUGGGUUCGCGGUCUAUCAGCUAGUUGGUGAGGUAAUGGCUCACCAAGGCGACGACGGAUAGCUGGUCUUAGAGGAUGAUCAGUCACACUGGAACUGAGACACGGUCCAGACACCUACGGGUGGCAGCAGUCGAGAAUAAUUCACAAUGGACGAAAGUCUGAUGGUGCAACGCCGCGUGGAGGAUGACGGUUUUCGGAUUGUAAACUCCUGUCAUUGUAGAGUAAGACUUAGUCGUUAAUAGCUUCUAAGUUUGAGAGUAUACAAAGAGGAAGGGACGGCUAACUUCG